CAUAAGCUCCUUUAGUAGGGGUGAGCAAACGGUCGGUCGGUUACAUAACCGACCGAAUAACCGAAUAACCGACCGUGGUUUUUGACCUUCGUAACCGACCGAAACCGACUGAAGGUGGUCCUAUGAUCGACCGAUAACCGACUGUCAGUUUUCGGUCGGUUACCAAAAAACCGAAUUC